GACGAACGCUGGCGGCGUGCUUAACACAUGCAAGUCGAACGGAAAGGCCCUGCUUUUGUGGGGUGCUCGAGUGGCGAACGGGUGAGUAACACGUGAGUAACCUGCCCUUGACUUUGGGAUAACUUCAGGAAACUGGGGCUAAUACCGGAUAGGAGCUCCUGCUGCAUGGUGGGGGUUGGAAAGUUUCGGCGGUUGGGGAUGGACUCGCGGCUUAUCAGCUUGUUGGUGGGGUAGUGGCUUACCAAGGCUUUGACGGGUAGCCGGCCUGAGAGGGUGACCGGCCACAUUGGGACUGAGAUACGGCCCAGACUCCUACGGGAGGCAGCAGUGGGGAAUAUUGCACAAUGGGCGGAAGCCUGAUGCAGCAACGCCGCGUGCGGGAUGACGGCCUUCGGGUUGUAAACCGCUUUCGCCUGUGACGAAGCGUGAGUGACGGUAAUGGGUAAAGAAGCACCGGCUAACUACGUGCCAGCAGCCGCGGUGAUACGUAGGGUGCGAGCGUUGUCCGGAUUUAUUGGGCGUAAAGGGCUCGUAGGUGGUUGAUCGCGUCGGAAGUGUAAUCUUGGGGCUUAACCCUGAGCGUGCUUUCGAUACGGGUUGACUUGAGGAAGGUAGGGGAGAAUGGAAUUCCUGGUGGAGCGGUGGAAUGCGCAGAUAUCAGGAGGAACACCAGUGGCGAAGGCGGUUCUCUGGGCCUUUCCUGACGCUGAGGAGCGAAAGCGUGGGGAGCGAACAGGCUUAGAUACCCUGGUAGUCCACGCUGUAAACGGUGGGUACUAGGUGUGGGGUCCAUUCCACGGGUCCCGUGCCGUAGCUAACGCUUUAAGUACCCCGCCUGGGGAGUACGGCCGCAAGGCUAAAACUCAAAGGAAUUGACGGGGCCCCGCACAAGCGGCGGAGCAUGCGGAUUAAUUCGAUGCAACGCGUAGAACCUUACCUGGGUUUGACAUGGAUCGGGAGUGCUCAGAGAUGGGUGUGCCUCUUUUGGGGUCGGUUCACAGGUGGUGCAUGGCUGUCGUCAGCUCGUGUCGUGAGAUGUUGGGUUAAGUCCCGCAACGAGCGCAACCCUUGUUCACUGUUGCCAGCACGUUAUGGUGGGGACUCAGUGGAGACCGCCGGGGUCAACUCGGAGGAAGGUGGGGAUGACGUCAAGUCAUCAUGCCCCUUAUGUCCAGGGCUUCACGCAUGCUACAAUGGCUGGUACAGAGAGUGGCGAGCCUGUGAGGGUGAGCGAAUCUCGGAAAGCCGGUCUCAGUUCGGAUUGGGGUCUGCAACUCGACCUCAUGAAGUCGGAGUCGCUAGUAAUCGCAGAUCAGCAACGCUGCGGUGAAUACGUUCCCGGGGCUUGUACACACCGCCCGUCAAGUCAUGAAAGUUGGUAACACCCGAAGCCGGUGGCCUAACCGUUGUGGGGGAGCCGUCGAAGGUGGGACUGGUGAUUAGGACUAAGUCGUAACAAGGUAGCCGUACCGGAAGG
rnacentral:rRNA from 1 species